rnacentral:rRNA from 1 species
AUUGAACGCUGGCGGCAUGCCUUACACAUGCAAGUCGAACGGUAACGCGGGGCAACCUGGCGACGAGUGGCGAACGGGUGAGUAAUGUAUCGGAACGUGCCCAGUUGUGGGGGAUAACUGCUCGAAAGAGCAGCUAAUACCGCGUACGACCUGAGGGUGAAAGCGGGGGAUCGCAAGACCUCGCGCAAUUGGAGCGGCCGAUAUCAGAUUAGGUAGUUGGUGGGGUAAAGGCCCACCAAGCCAACGAUCUGUAGCUGGUCUGAGAGGACGACCUGCCACACUGGGACUGGGACACGGCCCAGACUCCUACGGGAGGCAGCAGUGGGGAAUUUUGGACAAUGGGCGCAAGCCUGAUCCAGCCAUGCCGCGUGCGGGAAGAAGGCCUUCGGGUUGUAAACCGCUUUUGUCAGGGAAGAAACGCUCUGGGUUAAUACCUCGGGGUAAUGACGGUACCUGAAGAAUAAGCACCGGCUAACUACGUGCCAGCCGCCGCCGUAACAC